AUGGUAAUAGUCUCAGCUACCCUGCAACACAUUACAACACAACCCUGGGUGGAAUAUCAACAUAAUAAUAACGGCUGUGGGGAGCCCAUGGAGUGUGAGCCAGGAGUUCCUGGUGUUAAACAGGAGCCUUCAGGGAGCCCAUACAGGGAGCUGGGAGCAGAGGGUAUGGAGGAAGGCCUCCUCAAAGGAGUAGAAGAGACGGACGAGGGAAAGAAGAGGAAGAGAAAACCCUACAGACCAGGGAUUGGUGGCUUCAUGGUGCGUCAGAGAAAGUGUCACACACGGAUGAAGAAGGGUCUGUUCCCCCAUCUGUCUCAUCUGGCUGGAGACGGAACUGUUACGACAGCCAGACCGACAAGAGAGAAGCCUGCCCUAGAGGAAGGCAAGUUACAGAAGCCAUCUAAGUCAGAACAUUUCAGUGUUUGACCACUAUCUGUUAGAGGUCAAAAUCUAAUUUCUUCAAGGAAUAUGAUAAACCUUUGACGACCACUGCGGAAAUAAGUGUUUUCAUUCAUAUGUUUUAAUGUGUCAUCCUCCGGGAUUUAAAUGUUUAUAGUGUGGAUGUAUGAGUUAUUUGUAAUUAAUGUUCCCUCUAAGCUGAGCGCGGUAGCCCUGAGACUGCCACGCAGAAAUAUCAGCCCACAGAGAGAAGCAUGUGAUUCAACUUCACUCAACUUUCUAGAGCAGUGGUCACCAACCGGUCAAUUCCAUCCGACUGGUCGAUCUCCAAGGCAUUCCUAGUUGAUCUCCAAAUAUCUCUGUUAAAAAAGCAACGAUAAAGCCAUGUUCUUAUUUUUUGUUUUAUUCAUCUGUCUGGCAGUAGGUGCACCUGAUUCAGCUGCCCUGCGCACCGGGUCAGCCAACUGUUGACUUUUUCAACCAUUUCAUGUGUCUGAAGGUACAAACUCUGCCUUCCUGGUUGGCGCAGAU
rnacentral:lncRNA from 1 species